UACGGAGGGGGCUAGCGUUGUUCGGAAUUACUGGGCGUAAAGCGCACGUAGGCGGCUUUGUAAGUUAGAGGUGAAAGCCCGGGGCUCAACUCCGGAACUGCCUUUAAGACUGCAUCGCUAGAAUUGUGGAGAGGUAAGUGGAAUUCCGAGUGUAGAGGUGAAAUUCGUAGAUAUUCGGAAGAGCACCAGUGGCGAAGGCGACUUACUGGACACAUAUUGACGCUGAGGUGCGAAAGCGUGGGGAGCAAACAGG
rnacentral:rRNA from 1 species